rnacentral:rRNA from 1 species
UAAGUAAGCGGAGGAGAAGAAACUAAAUAGGAUUCCUUCAGUAAUGGCGAAUGAACAGGGAUCGGCUCAGCAUGGAAAUUGGGGCCCCUGGCCCUGAAUUGUAGUCUCAAGAUGUACUGCCAACGGAGGCGCAGAUGUAAGCCUCUUGGAAAAGAGCAUCAGCGAGGGUGACAAUCCCGCUUGCCAUCUGCAGCCCCCGUGCACGGUGUACCUUCUAAGAGUCACGUUCCUCGGGAUUGGAGCGCAAAGUGGGUGGUAAAUUUCAUCUACAGCUAAAUACUGGUUCGAGACCGAUAGCAAACAAGUACCAUGAGGGAAAGGUGAAAAGGACUUUGAAAAGAGAGUUAGAAGUGCCUGAACUUGCUGAAAGGGAAGCGAAUGGAACCAGUGUUGCUUGGCAAGAUUGCUGUGCACCACUGUGAGGGUCUGCUAUGCUAGCGCAAGUGGUGUGGUAGACUUUGAGCAGGACCUGCACGGUGUUCUUGCCUUGUGUGUCAGCGUCAGUUCGCGCUUGGGGAAGACGUCAAGGACAUGGUAGCCUGCCCACGGGCAUGUGAACGUGCUUGCUCGAACUCAUGCGGGAACUGCACGGUGACGAAAUAGUUCCUUUCGACUCG